CGGCCCCUCUUCGGGGAGUAGCCGCCCUGGACUUCAGGUUCAGGGGCUCGCGUCAACAUACUUGCCCGGUCGCCAGACCGGUCAUGGCGCGCGCAGCGUAUCGCCUGGCAAGACCGAUGACUCACACUCCCACCAGCCGGGUCGCGGGAGUGCGUGUCAUCGUGUAUUGACCGUGCGGCCCGGUUAUAAAA
rnacentral:sRNA from 2 species